rnacentral:piRNA from 1 species
GCAAGCUAAACGGAGGAACAUGGACG